rnacentral:rRNA from 1 species
GAGCGUUAAUCGGAAUUACUGGGCGUAAAGCGCAUGCAGGCGGUUUGUUAAGUCAGAUGUGAAAGCCCGGGGCUCAACCUCGGAACCGCAUUUGAAACUGGCAGGCUAGAGUCUUGUAGAGGGGGGUAGAAUUUCAGGUGUAGCGGUGAAAUGCGUAGAGAUCUGAAGGAAUACCAGUGGCGAAGGCGGCCCCCUGGACAAAGACUGACGCUCAGAUGCGAAAGCGGGGGUAGCAAACAGGAUUAGAUACCCUGGUAGUCCACGCCGUAAACGCUGUCUACUUGGAGGUUGAGGUUUAAGACUUUGGCUUUCGGCGCUAACGCAUUAAGUAGACCGCCUGGGGAGUACGGCCGCAAGGUUAAAACUCAAAUGAAUUGACGGGGGCCCGCACAAGCGGUGGAGCAUGUGGUUUAAUUCGAUGCAACGCGAAGAACCUUACCUACUCUUGACAUCCAGAGAACUUUCCAGAGAUGGAUUGGUGCCUUCGGGAACUCUGAGACAGGUGCUGCAUGGCUGUCGUCAGCUCGUGUUGUGAAAUGUUGGGUUAAGUCCCGCAACGAGCGCAACCCUUAUCCUUGUUUGCCAGCACGUAAUGGUGGGAACUCCAGGGAGACUGCCGGUGAUAAACCGGAGGAAGGUGGGGACGACGUCAAGUCAUCAUGGCCCUUACGAGUAGGGCUACACACGUGCUACAAUGGCAGAUACAGAGGGCAGCGAAGCUGCGAAGUGGAGCGAAUCCCUUAAAGUUUGUCGUAGUCCGGAUUGGAGUCUGCAACUCGACUCCAUGAAGUCGGAA